GCCCUGUCGUGCUGCGCAUGAUUUAUACGUCAUCACCAAAGACCUUCGUUGUCCCUCAUGUCUCAACAUGGUCGUCUUCUGAGAGGAAUAACAAGGCGAUGACAGAGCUCCAGAGCCGGCAGAGUUAAACACGUGUGAUUUGAGGGACUUCUUCUCCGGAGCCAUGCCUCGCUACGAGCUUGCCCUGAUCUUGAAGGCGAUGCAGCGGCCGGAGACGGCGGCGGCUCUGCGGCGGACUGUGGAGAGUCUGAUGGAGCGGGGCGCAGUGGUCAGGAGCCUGGAGAACCUGGGAGAGAGACUGCUGCCCUACAAGAUCACCAAACACAACGAGAGGCACAGCCGAGGAUCAUACUUUCUGCUCGACUUCUACGCGGCCCCCGACGUCCUGCCGGGCGUCCUGAAUCACCUGCAGCGGGAUGUGGACGUGGUGAGGCCCACCAUGCUGAAGAAGGACGACCAGACUCCAGGCAGCAGCUGCUGCGGCCCCCAACAGUGACUGAAUGUAAGGAAGGAGUGACAGGUGUUGAUAAAGUGCAGCAGCACCAUGUAUCUGAUGAAUGAAACUCUCAGCUGGUGUAUGAGCAGGAGUGAUGCUCUCAUCCACGUGUGCACACGUCUCCAAAACGACAGGAUUGUUGGAGACCAAUAAGAUCAACAAGCGUCCUUGCAUUUGUGCUGCUGUGUAAUUUCCAGAUUUUUCGGUCCAAAGAUAUAAUAUAUAGUUCCUGUCAGUCGACUAACAAGUUCAUGACUGAUACAUCUUAGGUUAAUGAGAAGAAAUUUAUUACAAAGCCCUACAUGCACUAUUUUUAUGCAAUAUCUUUUUUUUAACAUGAGCUUUAGGGAUACAUUAUGGAAGAUAUUAGGAAGCAGUGGUCUCCCUAAAAAAAGAGGCUGUAAAUGAACUAUAUGAACUGUAAAUGUAUUAACUGCGUUUUUUAUGAACUGAGUUUGUGGAUAAGUCUAAGCCAAAUUGUUGAGUAGUAUCGAUUAAGCUGUUGGUUAAAAUGCUGUAACCAGAAGUGAUGUCCCAAAACUAUAAAACUUAUUCCAGUGUUGUAAAAUGACAAGUCAAUUACUCUUCAAAAUUAAGAACAAAGUUUUAAUAACACCCCUUCAAAAGUUUUCACCGCUCUUCUCCAGAAGACACACAGUUUCAUGCUUCCAUCUUUUAUCUUUUUCACAAUUGAUUACCAGCAUUUGGGUGUUGUGUUAUAAUAAAUAACUUUUUUU